ensembl:lncRNA
AGCCUCUGAGCACUGCCCAGUGUGAACUAUGUGUUUCCACAAGACUGAGCAGACCCAGACAGAGCUGAUUGCUCUUGCAGUUAAUAAAAAGCGCUGCACUUUCUCUCUUGACAAUCCCGACACCUGAGUGCUUCCUACGUAUGACAGUUAGCACAUUCUGGUUGCUCAGUGGCCUGUGAGAAAUGAGCCUCUUCUCAAUUUAGUUCCUAUCAUCAGACAAGCGGUACACACAAUAAAAAACACACCUUGACAGUCAGCCCCCAAAGUAGCCCCGGGGACCGAGGGCUUGGACUUCCCUUUCUCUCAUAUACGAUCCCCAUUAAAUUGAUACAAUUUAUUGGAGUGGAUUCUCUCCCUACCACCUCCAGGUAAAUCAGGUGACUUCACUGAGGUCGCUCCGGUUCAGUAUCAAAGCACAGCAUAGACCGGAGGAGGGGAAACUCUCCUGACCCCACCAAGUUUCUUCUUGAUCUUGUCAGGCUCUCCACAAUCAGGGAAGCAUAAGAGCACUGUCUAUGCAUAUGACAGCAUUUUUUUUUUUUUUUUUACUUCUUCAGCUUUCCACUUUCGGCUUUGUGUCGUUGGCCAAGGAGCUGCCUUUCCUGCAGUUAACAGCAUCAGGGUGAGUAGGAUCUCCUUUCUUCCCAGGACAAAGGGAAGGUCAUAUGGCAAAGGGCUGGGAAAGGGGGAAGCGGGUGGAUGCUGCGCGGGCAUCGCUUCAGCCCAGCUGAGCCCGUCAGGUCAUGUCAAACGGAGCUAAUAUAAAUGUCAGUGUGCUGUUUCAGUGGUGAAAUCUCUGUUUGUUGCAAUGCAGCUCAUUUUCAGUCUUCCAGCCCUAUGGAUGCUAUCAGCUGACAAGUCUGGCCAGUACCCUCUGCCAAAAAUACACGCGCGCUCAACAUUUCUCAGGAGUUCCCCCCCUCACACACACACCCCACCCUGUGACAUACUUCUGUCAGAUUUCUUCUGAGCGCUGUGAGACACGAGACUGUCCACACCUUCCAGAUAAUGAGCUUAACAUUUCAAGGACAGAAGCUCUCAAACUGAGCAAGACGAGGGAAAGAUCUGCAGCUCUGAUUUGGAGCGGGUGCCAGUGGUGGCGGUGCUCUUCUAAGCUCCUUUGGCACCCUCUGUUUUAAGGUAAUCAAAAGCAGUAGUAAGAGAUGACGCAGAGCUCAAAGUCCCAUCGUUACUAUUGUUAUACAUAAACAGGACGUCGUUAUUAACAGUGGCUUAAAUUCUUUUCUCACUGUUGCUUGCUUUUAGAAUAAAUGUUAUGCCCUUUUGGCAUCUCAGGAUGGAGCUGGAAUCUCCUCUGCUCCCCUCCUGGCGCAGCUGUCUGCUCCACUCCAGCUCCACUUCUCCACAUCUGAGCAAUUUUUGUCUCCUGACAAUGUCCUCUCCUCCUCCAACCCUGGUUCCAGCUUCUAACAUCUCCUUCCAACUGCAUUUGUGACUUCUGCCUCAACUUUCCCCUUUUUGCCGUCGUUUAUAGCAUACUCUGUAUGUAAUAAAUGAGAGGAAGAUGAACAAGUUGAAGGAAUUUUUGUUAGAAGUCUUAGUAUGUGUGUGCCCUAGGUCAUGGCAGAAGUAAGAAAAGAAAGAUUUUGUGGAGGGAAAAUUACAAAUUCUUGGUCAGUUUAAGAUGAUGGCUCACCAUUCAUGUCUAAAUGUAUAAUGGAAUUAUACUUUAGAACAAAACAAUUGCCUCACUUGACAUACAUUGUUAAAUUCCAGCCCAAUUUCUACAAAAGAGGAAGGGUUCUGAAACAAUUUUUUGUGCUCUUUUCCCUACAGUAAGCUAAGCAUAUUUUCUUACAUUUGGUGUGCUUUACUGCAUAAUAAUACAUUUAUAAGAGCUCCCCUACCUGUCACUUUCUGGAAUUAUAAAACACAUGCACCCACCUGCACUCUACAAUACCAGUAUUUACAAGCUUGUAUAGGAAUUGCAAUAUUUUUCCUGCAAGCUUGUUCUGUAUUUUUCAUUUCCAGCUGCUAAUAGCUCAUGCAAUUUAGAAGAUCUUGAGGUGAAGGUGUGACUUAAACACAUACCAUAAAACUCUGAAAGUACCCACUGUAGUUCAGUGUAAAGGCUGUAUAGUUUAUUAUAUCUGCAUAUGCUCUAGAGCUCUAGUGACUGUUUAGAAUCACAGAUUCUUGGGUUGGAAGGGACCUUAAGACCCGCCAGCCUCAACCCUUGCCGUGGGCUGGUUGUCACCAAGCAGAACAGGCUGUCCAGUUCCCCGUCAUCCGACAUGAAAUAUGAAGACCCCACUGCCACUACAGGGCUGCUUCUGCAAGUAAACUCUGGAUGCUCUUGCUGACUUCUCUGAGUGAAAAUUGAAUCAAGUUGUUUUGCCCUUCUUCCUCCUUCUGCCAGCUCAGUGUCAAGCAUUUUCCUUCUCUUUUUAUGUCCUUAUAACCUAGAAGUCUAAUUCCAAGUCUUGAUCUUCCGUUUCCCUUCUCAGUUCCUUUCUCAUACUCCUGAACCUUUCAGUAUUCUCUCUAUUUCAGCUCACACGAUAAAGUGCUUUAUUUUUUCAAGUUGUGAGCAUUCUUCUUGUCUACAUAUGCAUCUCUGGAAGCCUUGUUCCCUUUCCUCACUAGGCUUGCUCAGUUUUCUUUAUCCACUUCCUCUGUUCUGUGUACCCAACUAUACAUCUCACUGAAAUAACUCUCAACAAAACCUUCCCCUAUUUCUUCUUGGACAAAACCUGAGAGCAGAAUGCCAGCCCUAGGCCCUUGACCCAUCAGCCACUUUUGACAUCAUUGCUUACUCUGUGAAUUCUGCACAUCUGUGACUCAGUCCUUCACUGAUGCUGCUCUUGUUGACUGAAGGAGGCACUUCACCUCCGUCCCCACCCUCCAAUUUUGUGUUGACUUUGCAGAUAGUAAUCCUUUGCCUCUUCUGCUCCCAUACUUUUCUCUUGGCAAUCCUGUCUAUGCAUACAAACCCAAGCAUCAUUGCUAUGACAGUGACUCACAAACCUAUUCUGAGCUUUUUUUUCUUUUAUCCAAAACUGUGUCUAUUUCUUUCAGAGUUUUAUUCAUAAUGAACAAACAGAAAAGAUGCUGAAUUUUCUGGCCCUCCACAAAACUGAAACUCUUGCAGAGGAUUGGGAUUGCUUGCUUUUAUUCAUGGAAACAUCCCAUUUUCUGGACAAAUUGGAUCAUAUGCUUGUGUUUUAAAAUUGCUCUGUAAAUGUGAUUUCCUUAACUUAUUGGUGUGACCAAGUCACAUCUGUCUUGGCUACAUUCCUCUGGCAGCCCUUUUCUCAUGGCAGUUCUUCUGUUUCAUCAAAUUGUUUCACCAAACAGAAGCUACUCUUCGCUUUGAAGACAUCCUCCUAAUUCACAUACAUUGUACAGCUAUAGCAUGGUCUGCUGAAACCCUGCUGGCCAUACUCAAAUCAGAAUCAGUUCCUCUGGUGCUUCUCUUUUGGCAGCCAGCAUCAUUCCAGCACGCAGCACAGGGGAAAAGCAGGCACACACACAGCCCUCUACUGCCUGUGGCAGCCAGAGCACCUCUCAGCCACACUGCCUCACCUGCUGACACAAUCCAUCAGCGCCCACCGAAAUCAAAUGCAGCUAAUUGGAAGGUGAUGACAGCCAUGGGACUGCUGGAUUUGCAUGCUAAUUCCUCUAUUUUAGCAUCCCACAGCCAGGCUACAGGCUCUGCUCCUUGCUUUCUGCAAGGUCCUCUGUUCAUCCCCUCAGGGCGGCAGCAGUGGCUCAUCUGGGCAGCUGGCUGCCUUGUGGAAGAACCCCAUUUUGGGACCUGCAACAAUGUCAGUGUUUGCGUCAAGAAAAAGGUGAGGGGUCCAUUGCCUAGUAGCUGAAUACAGCCCUUUCGUGGGAGGAGGCUCAUGUCUCCUUGCCCCAUCACAAUUUUUCUUUAAUUUUAAUUUUAACUUUUUUUUGGGAAGCAGGUUGAACUCUCUCCUGAGAAAGUCAGUCUGUCUGUAUGGAAGGAGCAAGACAAGCGCUCAGACACAAGUCCCAGCUUUGCAGCUGCAGCCCCUGUGAUUCAAAAUACCAACACCACCACCUGGAAAUCCAUCUCAGAUGCCGCUCCUUCUUCAAGCAGAGUUUCCCACCUGUCUCAAACCAGGGGUUUUAGACAAUCAUGGAACUACCUGUGAAUAAUGCUGUGGUUCUGCUUCCUCCAGUGUGUCUUCAUAGGCCUGAUGUCAGCUUCUUUCUUGUGGAGACAAAGAAUGUCACCAUGAAUGUCCAUUGGCAAACUGGAUAAGAAGGAGUGUCACAGUGCAGGACAACCUAGAAAAUGACAGGUAUUUCCAGGCAUAGCAAUGAUGAGAUCAAAUUCCCCUCAACCUGCCUUGUUUGCUGAUCUUUUAAUCAGAUUCAACUUCACUGCAGCUACAGCACAAGGUUCCCUGACAAUGUAUGACAGCAUGUGACAGAAAAAUAUUUUGAUUUUGGUUUGUUUUUUGUUUUGGUUUUUUUUUGACCAUUUGAUGCUAUUUCAGAUAUAUCUGAAGCCCUGGCAGCAUCUGCUAAAUCUACCGAACUGUUUUAGUGGAGGUUUUUAUACUUGCAUAAUUGAACCAGAGGGUUUGGGGGUUGUGUUCAUGUGCGUGUAGGGGAAUCCAAACAGGAAAGCUGGGAAAUGAUCUAAACCCUUUGAGGUUAACGUGCCAUGAAAGAGCAUCAACGACCGAAGAGGACAUUAUUAAAAAGCAGCCAACCCAGCUCAAAAAGAACCACUGUGUGAAGCAAGAGCCUGCAGAACAACACCCAGGGCUGUUUGUGAUCCCACUGGGAUAUGUAUUUCAUCCCCUGUCUUCAUAUCUCCAGAUUUCCUCUGAACUGCUUCUGAGACGCAUUCUCAAAAAAGAAAAACACCAGCAACUACUGAAUGCCUCUUAUCAACCUUUUCCCCGCAAUCUGUUUCGUAUUCGUCUCACACCCUUGUUCUCGCAGUGUCUUGGGGAAAUGCUCGGAUCAAAGAUAAGAGAGAACAAGGAAAGGAAUGAAGCAAGAGGCAAACAACAAAACAAAACCACCCCCCCCCCCCCCCCCAAACUUUCUGACUAAACUUCUCUGCAAACCGUGUGCACGAUUACAGCACUGUUAAAACUGCCUUCUUCUUCGCCAGUACUUAAUUCCUGCUUUUAAAAUCAGGCUCCCUUUGAUCUUGAGGAUUGAAAUGAUCUGGAAAUGAAACAGCCAUUGCUUUGCAGAAAAUCUGGAUAGGGUCCCAGGCAUGGCUUUUACCUGGAAGGAUUCCAAAAUAGGAUGAAAUCUCUCCGGUUUCAGAACAAAUUGCAAGAUUUUUCUCUAUGUCUAGGCCAACUGUGGAACUCCAGCCCUGACGUCUGCUAGUUCCCAAAGCGCAGAUGUAAUAACCUCUAAGGUAAACUGUGGGCCCUAUUCCUCCAUUUUCUCCCCUCUGCCUCUCCUUCAAGGAUCAAAUGUUUGGAGAAUUUUAUUAAAACAAAGACUUAAAUUUCUGAGCAAACUUAAGUUGAGGAGACAGUUGCUUAUAACCUGGGCUAGGUUCAGCCACAGGAGGGUUGGGCAGGACAGAGGACCAGGAGCAUCUGUAACAUCUGGAUCUUGUUGCAUGCGAAGAAAUAUCUGCCUGGCUUUGCACAACCUGAUCCCAGAGCCAAAAGGGCUGAGAAAUGUGGUUAAGAGACGAUGAAGCUCACUUUGCCCUACCAAAUAAGUCCCACUGAGAAAGUAAGCACAUCAAUAUUUCUUUGAGUGUUUUUCUUCUAGUUCAUAUAUUUCCAUAUGCUGCAUGAAUAUUUCUUUUAUUGGGGAUUGCAAGUCCAUCUGGUAGUUGUAUCGGGAAGGCUUGAGCUGACAGAUCC